AUCAUAUUGGUCUGAUCCAUGAGUCACUGAAGCAUCCUAUAAUUUCGGGAAGAUAAUGGGUUCAGACCUAUUUCAAGUUGACAGUUGUUGGAGUUCGAUUGGACUGUAUCUCAUAGAAAGUCAAAUUCUACUUAAUCUUUUGGAACAAUUCUAAUGGAUUCUUGCAAAAAGAUAUGGGAAACUAUAAAAUAACCAGAGACCCGGCUCCUCAGAG
rnacentral:misc_RNA from 1 species